UUGCUUUAGUAACACAUAUACUAUAAUUGGAAUGAUACAGAGAACAUUAGCAUGGCCUCUGUGUAAGGAUGACACAGAAAUAAAAAAUAUAAUGGUCCAAAAUAUUU
ensembl:snRNA U6 U6 spliceosomal RNA